rnacentral:sRNA from 1 species
AUAGAACAUGAAACCAUUAGCCUACAAGCAGUGGAAGGACGAUUAAACGUCUGACCGCGUGCCUGUUGAAGAAUGAGCCGGCGAGUUAUAAGUAGUGGCAGGUUAAAGCAAUAAUUGCUGAAGCCAAAGCGAAAGCGAGUCCUAAUAGGGCGAAAAUUAUGUCACUGGUUAUAGACCCGAACCCGGGUGAUCUAACCAUGUCCAGGAUGAAGCUUGGGUAACACCAAGUGGAGGUCCGCACCGACUGAUGUUGAAAAAUCAGCGGAUGAGGUGUGGUUAGGGGUGAAAUACCAAUCGAACCCGGAGCUAGCUGGUUCUCCCCGAAAUGUGUUUAGGCGCAGCGGUUGUGAUUAUAGUCUGGGGGUAAAGCACUGUUUCGGUGCGGGCGGCGAAAGCUGUACCAAAUCGAGACAAACUCAGAAUACCAGAUGCACACACAACCAGACAGACAGUGGGGGAUAAGCUUCAUUGUCAAGAGGGAAACAGCCCAGACCACCAGCUAAGGUCCCCAAAUGACUGCUAAGUGAUAAAGGAGGUGGGAG